AGUAGUGGUGUACAGGUGAGUAAAAGAUAAUUUGGCUACCUUAAAGUAAGGGAAAAAAUCCCUUAUAAAAAUAAAGGAAAAUAAAAAGUCCGCUUUAAGAUGUUAAUCUUUAUCUCGGAAAGUAGUAGGAAAGGUAAUGACUUUUCUAGCUAAAAUCCGUAGUCGUGACUGAGAGGUCGAUCGACCACAUUGGGUCUGAAAAAACCCCAAUGCGUAUUAGUACAGCAGUGAGGAAUAUUGGUCAAUGGCCGAAAGGCUGAACCAGUAACUUGGAAGAAUGUAAGUGUAUUAUAGUAAUACAGUAACGAUUAACUCGUAUAAAAUUCUAAAUAGGAUAAUGAUAAUGACAAUUUCCUAUUUAUAAGUCUUGACCAAAUUACGUGCCAGCAGUCGCGGUAAUACGUAGAAGACUAGUGUUAGUCAUCUUUAUUAGGUUUAAAGGGUACCUAGACGGUAAAUUAAACUCUAAAUGAGUACUUUUUUACUAGAGUUUUAUGAGAGAAGGAAGAAUUUCUGGAGUAGUGAUGAAAUACUUUGAUACCAGAAGGACUGGUAACGGCGAAGGCAUCCUUCUAUGUAAAAACUGACGUUGAGGGACGAAGGCUUGGGUAGCAAUAAGGAUUAGAUACCCUAGUAGUCCAAGCAGAAAAUGAUGAAUGUCAUAGGCUAGAUAAUAUUUAGUCUAUAAAUGAAAGUGUAAGCAUUCCACCUCAAGAGUAAUAUGGCAACAUAUAAACUGAAAUCAUUAGACCGUUUCUGAAACCAGUAGUGAAGUAUGUUAUUUAAUUCGAUGAUCCGCGAAAAACCUUACCACAGUUUGAAUAACAUUAAAUUGUUACAAGCGCUGCACGGCUGUCUUUAGUUAAUGUCGUGAGAUUUGGUUAACUCCUCUAAUUAACGAAAACCCUCACUUUAUUUGUAUACAUAAAGUGGUUCGCCGCUACAUUGGACCAGAUAAUAGGGAUUAAGACAAGUCAUCAUGGCCUAAAUACUGUGGGCUAUAGACGUGCCACAUACGCCUUAACAAAGGGAUGCGAUAUUGUGAAAUGGAGCUAAUCCCCAAAGUUGGAUAUAAUAUGGAUUGUAGUCUGUAACUCGACUACAUGAAUAAGGAAUUACUAGUAAUCGUGAAUCACCAUCGUCA
rnacentral:rRNA from 1 species